GGGGAAUAUUGCACAAUGGGGGGAACCCUGAUGCAGCCAUGCCGCGUGAAUGAAGAAGGCCUUCGGGUUGUAAAGUUCUUUCGGUGACGAGGAAGGUUGAUAGGUUAAUAGCCUAUCAAAUUGACGUUAAUCACAGAAGAAGCACCGGCUAACUCCGUGCCAGCAGCCGCGGUAAUACGGGGGGUGCGAGCGUUAAUCGGAAUAACUGGGCGUAAAGGGCACGCAGGCGGUGACUUAAGUGAGAUGUGAAAGCCCCGGGCUUAACUUGGGAAUUGCAUUUCAUACUGGGUCGCUAGAGUACUUUAGGGAGGGGUAGAAUUCCACGUGUAGCGGUGAAAUGCGUAGAGAUGUGGAGGAAUACCGAAGGCGAAGGCAGCCCCUUGGGAAUGUACUGACGCUCAUGUGCGAAAGCGUGGGGAGCAAACAGGAUUAGAUACCCUGGUAGUCCACGCUGUAAACGAUGUCGAUUUGGGGAUUGGGCUUUGAGCUUGGUGCCCGUAGCUAACGUGAUAAAUCGACCGCCUGGGGAGUACGGCCGCAAGGUUA
rnacentral:rRNA from 1 species